GAUGGUCCACUUGUCAAGUUGCCUCCCCCAACGAUGAAAUUGCCCAGAGAGAAGCAUGUAAGCUGUUCCUUCUAUUUAGAAUACUGUACUUCUUACCUAAAAUGUAAAAUUAAAGAAAAAUUAAGUUAGAGGGGUUGGUGGGGAAAGGGGGAGAUAGAGAGAGAAGAACAAAAAUAAUGAAAACUUUUAUUGCCUUUUGUUUUGGUUAUGAGAUUUCAUAUUUCCACUUUAGUGUUUGACAUUUCCUGCUUAGUAAACAUUGUUUAAUGUGAAAAAACGAUUAACUCAAUGAGAAAUGAGAAUAGCCUCCUUCUAAAUAGAAGUACUGGGAGGAGAAGUCUGUUUGAUGCAACGGCAUGCUUACCAAUUUCUGGCUUAAUGUAUGUAUUGGUUUAAAUCACAUUCUUGGAUAUGAUUCUUUAGUUGGACUUUUCCUAAUUAGGAAAGAUCAGCUCUGAGGAUUUAUUUGAUUCUUAUUCAAAUUUUAGUUCUUGUCAUUUGGUUCUAGUGUAAAUUAGUUUAUGAGUUUCUUGAGAGAAUCAAACGAAUUUGGUAAAUACUGUUAGAUUGGAAAUGCCAAGAUAAAAUAUUAAAUUAUAAAUUUAACUGUUGAACUUUUCUGUUUUUCCCAAAUUAACAAUUAAUUAUUUAAAGUUGACAAAAUGGUGCAACUAAAACCUUCCUGUUAGGCCCCUGUUAAAUUUGGUUAUGUGGUCAAACACUUAUGACCUGGGACCCCACAAACCACAGUAACAGUUAGAACUCUGAUGUAUGAAAAGAAUUUUCACCAGGUCCUCUUAUCAUAA
rnacentral:misc_RNA from 1 species